rnacentral:lncRNA from 1 species
UAUAUAUAUAUAUUUGCAUAUAUAUAUAUAUAUAUAUAUAUAUAUAUAUAUAUGAAUAGGGUGGGCCACAAGUCAUGCUCCAAAACACCCCCAUUUUAUUUAUAUUGCAUUAUUAUAUUAUUAUUAUUAUUAUUAUUAUUAUUAUUAUUAUUAUUAUUAUUACUAUUAUUCAUUUUCUUCAUCAUGUACAAGUAUGUGAGUAUUCAUCUUAUUUUAUUUAUUUUCUUCAAUUUUAGACAAUUCAGGAGCAUAUGCAACUUAUUUUGUGGUGAAUUUGGCCUACCCUGUAUGUGGUACAUAUAUACUACCAUAUAUAUAUAUAUAUAUAUAUACAUACAUAUAUAUAUAUAUAUAUAUAUAUAUUAUAUAUAUAAAAACCACACACUCACAUGCACAUACAAAACAAAGAGAGAGAACGUUUAAGUACAACUACUCCGGGAACCUCUCCAAAUUCUCCGCUCGGAUUACAAAUUUACAUGUGUACCGGUAUUUACAGGUACCCCCUCUUUAUAUUACUUGAACAUUUAUAUAAUAGUCUGAAAAAUCUGGGAUUUUCAGAGACAGAAACGGAACAAGAAACUUGCAUUCCGCAAAUUUCAGUUUGUAAACGGAACAGUGAAAAUAUGCAAGACUUUUCUAAAAUCCAUCUUGUAAUUCUUUAUUGUUGUUAUUAUUAUUAUUAUUAUUACUUAAACUCAAAUCAUGUUGUU